UUCUCUAACUGGCUGGUGCGACUUAUAGUUCGGAAAAUACGGUACUGUUGAAGUAACAAAGUGAAGUACCGACACUGACCACCGUCCAGGUUCAUUCUUGACUCCACACCUUCUCCUGGAGCUUCUUCUUCUUCUUCCUCCUCUUCUUCUUGUUCCCCUGAUUUUGGAUCAACAUGUUUGAACCACAGUUUGUCGUCCAGUAGAGAGUUCUCUGAGGAGGUGGGCGGGGCUUACAGUGCCUCAUUAACAUUUAAAGACACAGAAGCCGUUAGAACAGAACAGGUGUGUGAAGAGUCCAGCCGCGAUCGAUCCUUCGUUUUGUGCAUGUUACUAACAUGUUAUUAACGUGUUACUAACACAUCGUUAGACAUUAAUGAAGCUGAAGAAGCAGAAUGUGUCCUUUAAAAAAAAAGAAAAAAAACUAGUUUUGUUUUUUGCCAUAAAGUAUCUGGAGUGAAAGUGAGACUGGGUUUAAAUGUCAGUGGUUGUUGAUGACAUCAUCAGUCGGCAGGCGACAUCUGGAGGAAGUGUUUUCUGUAACAUUUCAACAUGGACCGUUGAUGAUGCGUGAACUUUUUCCGGCUCCACCUCAGCUGUCGGAGCCUCGCGGUUCUGAUCUGAGAAGAACCUGAAGAAGUUAGAACUUUACAACCUCCUCUGAAGAUGAGUUUUAUACCCGUGCCACGAUGAGUUCAGGGCCACUCCGCGGUUGUACAGUUGUGUGAAGUGCCAGAGCCUGUAGGUGGCGACGAUGACGACCCACCGCGGCCUACAGAAAAGACGCGCUCGGAAUGUGUGUGUGUGUGUGUUGAAAUGAGUGCCAUAUGUGUGGAUGGAAAUGAGAACGGACUGUAACCACGGCGCCCCCUCCCCCAUCUGUCUGUAACACCACCUCAGACUACAGACGUCACAGUGAGGUAAAGACAGACACCAGAUCAGCCGUGAUUAAUCCGACGACUCCCGUGGCUCGGUGUCGUCCCGCAGGAAUGACGUCCAGUUUUCCUGCGUUUUUUAUCCAAGAACUAAAACUGGGCUAAAAAAAUCUGGAAAUGAAGCUCUCCUGUGGGAGGAGAGCUGAGUUCUUACAGAUGUUCAGGACUUCAUUAGACUUAAAUGUCAACGGUCCACAGCCCUGGGUGAGAGGGGGAGGGAGUGUCCUGGCUGCUCAGUGUCACUGUUGUCUUGUAUACUUGUAAUCAUAUAAGCCUGAGUUGAUCACUGAUCAAUAAAACUGUUGUACACUUGUAACUCUUCUAUGUCGAUGACGCCGUUUUAUUUUAUAACUGGAGUCUGAAUCUUUGUACGUAAACACAAGCGCCACCUACCUGUCAAUCUUGUCCUAACACUCGGAUGUUUUUUCUUCUUUAAGAUCAGACUGCGGUUGUUUUGGCUCGUAGUUUUCAGCAGGUGUCAGUGAAGAACGUCCUGAGGUAAAUCCACAGAUUAUCUUUCUUCAGUGGGAUGUAAGGUUUGGUGGUGGACGUUCAGAAACAUUUACACUUCGUCACCGAGUUCUUCCUGCACCGUGGUGUUCCUUUGGAGGAUUAGUUAAUCAAUAAAACAAUAAAGACAAACUGGUAAAAUAUUCCUGAGGCAGAUUGACAGAUCUGUCUCUCCUCCAUGUGUCAGUCUGCUCUUCUUCUUCUUCUUCAGUGGUGUUUUCAUCAGAGAAUUUCUUCUCCAGACUGAAGUCCAGAUGGUUCUGGAUCCAAACCUGUUGAUGAGCUUCAAUCGUCUGAACAUCUUCCCAUUCAGAAUAUGAAGAUGGAAUGAACAAUGUCACCCCAAGAAUCUGGAACGCCAUAGAUGUGACGAUGAAAAUAAACAAUCUUCAGAGCAGGGAUGCACAUUAAGUAAAACCCCUGACUCUGUGCAUCCCUGCCCAGGACUGAUGGGAAAUAAAGAUCCAGUCCAUCGACUCUCCUGAUUGGUGCUGCCAUCUUUUCUGGAAUGAUAUUCAGUUUUCGUGGUCGACCUGAGGCUCGUCCUACGGAGCUGCAUCUCCACCCUCUCGACUACGCCGUGAAAUCGUUUUGUAAACUUGCCCUGGUGCCAACUUCAACAACUCCACCUGGACAUCGGUGAGUCAGUCUCUCUUCUCUCCUGAACUUCCUUUGUUUUAGUUGUGCAGGCUCCUGUGACGGUGUGUGUGUGUGCGCAAACAGACUGCAGG